AUUGAACGCUAGCGGCAGGCCUAACACAUGCAAGUCGAACGAGAGGCGGACGGGUGAGUAAUGUCUGGGAAAAUGCCUGAUGGAGGGGGAUAACUACUGGAAACGGUAGCUAAUACCGCAUACCAUCAGAUGUGCCCAGAAGGGAUUAGAUUGUUGGUGGGGUAACGGCUAUCCAAGGCGACGAUCCCUAGAUGGUCUGAGAGGAUGACCGGCCAACCUGGAACUGAGACACGUUCCAGACUCCUACGGGAGGCAGCGGUGGGGAAUAUUGCACAAUGGGCGCAAGCCUGAUGCAGCAAUGCCGCGUUUAUGAAGAAGUCCUUCGGGGUGUAAAGUACUUUCAGCGGGGAGGCGUUACCCGCAGAAGAAGCACCGGCUAACUCCGUGCCAGCAGCCGCGGUAAUUC
rnacentral:rRNA from 1 species